CAGAAAUACAAAAAAACAAAGAGAUAGUUAAAGAGAGAUCCGGCAUAAGAAAUUAAAGAACAAAAAAAAAUUGUUGUCGAUAAAUUUUUAUAAAAAGAAAACAUAAUAAAGAAAAAGAAGAUCAAUAAGGCAGUGCCAAACCAACAAAUGUACAAGAAUUUCAACAUGAAUCUUUUUACGGUUUUGUUUAAACAUCGUUCUACGGAUACAACAUUAAUUUUAAAAUAUUUAGCGAGGGACAUUAAGACACACUACAUAUAAGGGAUACAAAACUAUUUUCAUAAUAUGAUAAUAACAACAUUGAUAAAGGUUUACAAUAUCUACACACAAGUAAAGUAUAUCCCGCCCGUAGGGCGGGCCGAUCCUAGUUUGCAUAUAAAUGAAAGAAGGAGAAAUUGUGAGUGAGUUUGCCAAGUCAAAACAAACACAAUACAUUAUAGUAUUAUCCGUUAGAAAACGAAAAUAAUAUCCGCGCAUCCGAACGGGUCAAAACUCUAGUUAUUGCAUAAUAAGUAGGCCCAGUGGCGGUCCCAAAAAAAAAGUUUGUGGGGUCAAAAAAGUUUAAAAGUGUAGUUGAGGAGAUUCGAACCUCUCUUUUGUGGGUUCAUAACUACAUUGCCUAACCAAUACACCACAAAUGACAACUGAAAAUAGCUUACAAAUUAAAGUUUUGUUAUUAUUUGUGGUGUCAGCUGACACCAUAAGUCAACAAGUGGGUCCGCCACUGAGUAGGCCUCCCUUUGCUUAUAUGUAUCUGUGUUUGCAGCUCUGAUUUCUCGGUUUACAAGCUGGUUAGGUCUUAUAUCCGCGCCUCGCCAUUCAGAAGAUCAGCACUUUAAGGCUCUCUCCAAAGCUAUACCUGAUGAGGAGCUUGUGUUUCUUAAGGCGCAGUUCAUGCUCCUAGACCCUAAAGAUGGAGGCCUAUCUCUUAACAGCUUCACAACGGUCGGUGUCUCUUUCCUGAUUUAGCUAUAGCAUAUUUGAUUCGGUCUUUUAAUAAUGUGUGAAUCAAAAUCCAAGCUGUAAUUGUCUCUCUUUUGCUUUAAUUUAUAAAGCUCGUUUUG